rnacentral:rRNA from 1 species
CAGAGACUGCGAGCGUUAUUCGGAUUCACUGGGCGUAAAGGGUGCGCAGACGGCCAAGUGUGUGAGGCGUGAAAGCCCGGGGCUUAACCCCGGAAUUGCACCUCAAACUACAUGGCUAGAGCAUUGGAGAGGGUAGCAGAAUUCAUGGUGUAGCAGUGAAAUGCGUAGAUAUCAUGAGGAAUACCAGAGGCGAAGGCGGCUACCUGGACAAUUGCUGACGCUCAGGCACGAAAGCGUGGGGAGCAAAAGGGAUUAGAUACCCCUGUAGUCCACGCCCUAAACGGUGCACACUAGGUCUUGGCGGAUUCGACCCCCCCAGGGCCCAAGCUAACGCGUUAAGUGUGCCGCCUGAGGACUACGGCCGCAAGGCUA